rnacentral:rRNA from 1 species
CCUACGGGUGGCAGCAGUGAGGAAUAUUGGUCAAUGGCCGGAAGUCUGAACCAGCCAAGCCGCGUGAAGGACGACGGUUCCAAGCAUUGUAAACUUCUUUUGUCAAGGGACAAAAUCAGGCUCGAGAGCCUGACCGAGGGUACUUGAAGAAAAAGCAUCGGCUAACUCCGUGCCAGCAGCCGCGGUAAUACGGAGGAUGCGAGCGUUAUCCGGAUUUAUUGGGUUUAAAGGGUGCGUAGGCGGGCGGUUAAGUCAGCGGUAAAAGUCAGGGGCUCAACCCCGGCGAGCCGUUGAAACUGGUUGUCUUGAGAGGUGGAGAGGUAUGCGGAAUGCGCAGUGUAGCGGUGAAAGGCAUAGAUAUUACGCAGAACUCCGAUUGCGAAGGCAGCAUACCGGCGGCGAUCUGACGCUGAGGCACGAAAGCGUGGGUAUCGAACAGGAUUAGAUACCCUAGUAGUC